rnacentral:misc_RNA from 1 species
GGGACUUUGGCGUAACGAUAGGAUUUGAUUUGGAGGUUUAGCCUUGUAAGGCUUUAGGCGGUCGACGACUUCUCCGUCUGAACUUUGGAUUUCCUUACUUUUUAGGGUUUAAUAAAAAGCAUAAAUUGUUGCCCUCUUCAAUUUGGCGGCUAGGGUUUUAUUUCCGUUUUCCAGUUGGUAUAGGUUUUCCAUUUGGACAUAUAUAUAUAUAUUUGUGCAAAGUUUUAAGCUUUGAUCACUUUCUUAUUGGUUCAAGUAGAGGGUAUUUUUUGUUCUCUUGAUCUUCCCAAAUUAAUCUUGUUUUAGGCCAAAACUCUCAUCUGGGCAUUCUUCAAUUACUCCCAAUCCUUUAUCAUUACUUCUUUCCUGUAAGUUCAAAUUCUCUAAUUUUUUUUGGUCAAUUUUGUUUUGGUUUUAGCCCGAAUAUCAUUCUGGGUAUUGCUUUCGAUUUCAAUCUGGUUUUGUUUGCUGAUUUAGUACGAUAAGAAUAAGAAAGCAGAUUAUCGUUUUUAAAUAUCUGGGUUUUUGGAAUCACAAUCUGCAUGUUCUUUGGUCAUUGUGUAAUUGUGGUUUAUUGAUUUUUUAGAUUGCGUUAUACAUUGAUCUGGAUUAGGUUAUUGAUUCCAGUAUUUUAAGAUCGAGUACAUAAUUUGUUUCAAUUUCAGUUCUUGAAAUAUACCAACACAUCAUCAUGAGUUAUCCCGACUCUCGACCUCCUUAUAUGUCAACACAGCUUCCAUAUCAACCAGGCAAUGAUGCCAUUGGUGUCUGGCCUCAAUUCCCUACAAACAGCAACGAGCAAUUUGACUUGCAUUCACAGUUUGAACAGCACCAAUCCCCUUACAAAAGAACAAGAAUCUCUGAGGAUAGCAGCAGCCAAUCCGUGAAUUUUAGGAUGCCCCUGCCAAACAACCCCCCUGUCAAUAAAGGAACAACAAGCAUCUUCUUUAAGACCAGAAUGUGUGCAAAAUUUAGGACUGGUAAUUGUAGGAAUGGUGAGAAUUGCAACUUUGCUCAUGGUAUGCAAGAUUUGAGGCAGCCCCCACCCAAUUGGCAAGAACUUGUAGGUGUAGGUGUACGUGGUGAAGAGGAUAGAUCAGCAGGGAACUGGGAUGAUGAUCAAAGGAUAAUUCACAAGAUGAAGCUAUGCAAGAAGUUUUAUAAUGGAGAGGAGUGCCCUUAUGGGGAAAGUUGUAAUUUUCUUCACGAGGAUCCAUCAAAGUUUAGGGAUGAUGCAAGGAGGUCUAGGGAGAGUUCUGCAAUAAGUAUUGGGACUACUGGGCAGCCAGUGAUACACGGAAUUGGUAGGUUGAAUACAACUGAAGUCAAUAAGCCUAUCAAUAACGCUGGUUCAGAUGCUACUCGUGCGAAUAUGAAGCCUGUGUAUUGGAAGACAAAGUUGUGCACUAAAUGGGAGACUACAGGUCAAUGCCCCUUCGGCGAGAAAUGUCACUUUGCUCAUGGACAAGCUGGUAUGUGCUGUUGGUUAAAUUCAUAAUUUUGAACUUGCAAUGGUCUUAUGGUUUCCUUUCUUUUGGAAUUUAUUUAAAUGGUACACAUCUUGGCAGACCAAGAAGUUUAAUUGGUAGAAUGGGGAUUAUCAAAUCAAGUGAGAAUUUUGGAAUAGAUAUUAUUGAUAAAUUGAAAGCGCGUCAUGCAUUCUUUGGUUUAUUUUUUAUGAAAUGAAGAGACAUGGUAAGGUUUCCCAUCUUGGCUUCUGUAUAAAUAUGAUAUCUAGUUGGUUUUAUAUGUAUAGUUUGCCAUUUGCAUUAUUAGGCAUGCUCUAUGUUUAUUUAGGUGUCUUAAGAAAAUUCUCAAUUUUGGUUUUGUGAUCCUACUGAGUGAGCUUGUGUCAGAGCUUUGCGCAAGGUCCAUAGAGUGCCUCCCCCCAAGAUAUAAGCAUGCAAUAUAGAACAAUGUAUGAAAUAAUUAGCAUUUACCCCCCUCCUCUUUUCCUAUUUUAUUUCAGGUUUAGAGAAUGAUUAUAUUCCAUUUUAAAUGUGAAAAAAAAAAGGGUGGAGAAGGCUUAUAAACUUAGUGAAUUAGCUUUUGCCCUUUCUGGAAUCGUUGUGUACUAAAGUUUGUUGUUCUCAUACUUCUUUCGCACUGAAUAUCGGCUUGCAUUUUGUUUCCUUCUCUUCUGUUCUCCUCCUAUCUCACUUUCUCCCGCCGUUAUGUGCAUGUUUAUGUAGAAAGAAAUAGGAAAAAGUAAUAAGUUUUGUUAUAAUAAGGAGUUUAGACCCUUUUGGAAGCCAUUCUGAAUUAAGCUUAAUUAUCAUUCUUACAUCUCUUCUCCACUGAAAAUGUGUUUGCUCUUUAAAAGGAUGCUUAAACUACUUUCGAACAACAACAACUAAGUAUUAAUUCCAAACUAGUUGGGAUCGUCUAUAUGCUUAAAAUACUUUGUUGGAUAAUUAUUUAUUACUAUUUGACGUAAACCUUUUAUUGAUGUCAGAGUUAAAAGUUCCUGGAGGACGUGCUGAAGGGGAAAAUGCAGGCUCAAUUUUGACCAAACCACCUGUUCUUGCUAAUAAUGCAUCUCCAAGUACGACUGCAAGUGUGCCUAAUGUCAUUGAAGAAGCGCAGAGUAAGAAAUGCUUGUUGAAGUGGAAAGGACCCAAGAAAAUAAAUCGUAUCUAUGGUGACUGGCUUGAUGAUCUUCCAUUAGUACAGAACUUGACAAACCAAGUUGAGAGUUGAGCUGAAACUUGAAAUUGUUGCAUUGUAAUUAUUUUUUGUGAGCUGCUUCAAGAAAAUUUUGAUGAUUUCUGCUUCCAAAUCUGAAAAUUUUGGUCUCUAGGAUGUUUUUAAGUCGUUGUGAGGGCAGGGGGAUGAAGAAAUGUGUUAUUG